rnacentral:misc_RNA from 1 species
GAUGAAGAACGUAGCGAAAUGCGAUACUUGGUGUGAAUAGCAGAAUCCCGUGAACCAUCGAGUCUUUGAACGCAAGUUGCGCCUCAAGCCAUUAGGUUGAGGGCACGUCUGCCUGGGCGUCACAUAUCGUUGCCUGAUGCCAGUUUCCUCGUGAUGGGUGACUGUGCAGGGCGAAUGAUGGCUUCCCGUGAGCAUUGUUGCCUCAUGGUUGGUUGAAAAUUGAGUCCUUGGUAGGGAGCGCCGUGAUAGAUGGUGGUUGAGUGACGAACGAGACCCAAUCAUGUGAGACCCCUACCGAAUUUGGCCUUCAUGACCCACAUGCGUCUUUGGAACGCUCAUGACGAGACCUCAGGUCAGGCGGGGCUACCCGCUGAGUUUAAGCAUAUCAAUAAGCGGAGA